UGGGGAAUAUUGCACAAUGGGGGAAACCCUGAUGCAGCGACCCCCCGUGAAGGAAGAAGGUCUUCCGAUUGUAAACUCCUGUUGUUGGGGAAGAUAAUGACGGUACCCAACAAGGAAGUGACGGCUAACUACGUGCCAGCAGCCGCGGUAAAACGUAGGUCACAAGCGUUGUCCGGAAUUACUGGGUGUAAAGGGAGCGCAGGCGGGAAGACAAGUUGGAAGUGAAAUCUAUGGGCUCAACCCAUAAACUGCUUUCAAAACUGUUUUUCUUGAGUAGUGCAGAGGUAGGCGGAAUUCCCGGUGUAGCGGUGGAAUGCGUAGAUAUCGGGAGGAACACCAGUGGCGAAGGCGGCCUACUGGGCACCAACUGACGCUGAGGCUCGAAAGUGUGGGUAGCAAACAGGAUUAGAUACCCUGGUAGUCCACACCGUAAACGAUGAUUACUAGGUGUUGGAGGAUUGACCCCUUCAGUGCCGCAGUUAACACAAUAAGUAAUCCACCUGGGGAGUACGACCGCAAGGUUGAAACUCAAAGGAAUUGACGGGGGCCCGCACAAGCAGUGGAGUAUGUGGUUUAAUUCGACGCAACGCGAAGAACCUUACCAAGUCUUGACAUCCCUUGACAGGCAUAGAAAUAUGUUUUCUCUUCGGAGCAAGGAGACAGGUGGUGCAUGGUUGUCGUCAGCUCGUGUCGUGAGAUGUUGGGUUAAGUCCCGCAACGAGCGCAACCCUUAUGGUCAGUUACUACGCAAGAGGACUCUGGCCAGACUGCCGUUGACAAAACGGAGGAAGGUGGGGAUGACGUCAAAUCAUCAUGCCCUUUAUGACUUGGGCUACACACGUACUACAAUGGCGUUAAACAAAGAGAAGCAAGACCGCGAGGUGGAGCAAAACUCAGAAACAACGUCCCAGUUCGGACUGCAGGCUGCAACUCGCCUGCACGAAGUCGGAAUUGCUAGUAAUCGUGGAUCAGCAUGCCACGGUGAAUACGUUCCC
rnacentral:rRNA from 1 species